rnacentral:rRNA from 1 species
UGGAUUCGCUAGUAAUCGCGCAUCAGCCAUGGCGCGGUGAAUACGUUCCCGGGCCUUGUACACACCGCCCGUCAAGCCAUGGGAGCCGGGGGCGCCUGAAGUCCGGGACCGCGAGGACCGGCCUAGGGCGAAACUGGUAACUGGGGCUAAGUCGUAACAAGGUAUC